rnacentral:rRNA from 1 species
GACAGAGGUGCCGAGCGUUAGGCGGAAUCACUGGGCUUAAAGCGUGUGUAGGCGGAUGGGUAAGUACCUUGUGAAAUCCCACGGCUCAACCGUGGAACUGCUCGGUAUACUGCUCGUCUUGAGCCAACUAGGGGCGACCGGAACAAACGGUGGAGCGGUGAAAUGCGUAGAUAUCGGAAGGAACGCCGGUGGCGAAAGCGGCGCGCUGGACCUCUUCUGACGCUGAGGCGCGAAAGCUAGGGGAGCAAACGGG